GACGAACGCUGGCGGCGUGCUUAACACAUGCAAGUCGAGCGGUAAGGCCCUCUCGGGGGUACACGAGCGGCGAACGGGUGAGUAACACGUGGGUGACCUGCCCUCAGCUCUGGGAUAAGCCUGGGAAACCGGGUCUAAUACUGGAUAUGACUCCAUGACGCAUGCUGUGGGGUGGAAAGCCUUGUGCGGCUGAGGAUGGGCCCGCGGCCUAUCAGCUUGUUGGUGGGGNGAUGGCCUACCAAGGCGACGACGGGUAGCCGGCCUGAGAGGGCGACCGGCCACACUGGGACUGAGACACGGCCCAGACUCCUACGGGAGGCAGCAGUGGGGAAUCUUGCGCAAUGGGCGAAAGCCUGACGCAGCGACGCCGCGUGAGGGAUGACGGCCUGGUGU
rnacentral:rRNA from 1 species